rnacentral:rRNA from 1 species
CACGUAGGGGGCGAGCGUUGUCCGGAUUUACUGGGCGUAAAGGGCGCGUAGGCGGUCAGCACAAGUCAGUUGUGAAAUCUCCGGGCUUAACCCGGAAAGGUCAACUGAUACUGUGCGACUAGAGUGCGGAAGGGGCAACUGGAAUUCUCGGUGUAGCGGUGAAAUGCGUAGAUAUCGAGAGGAACACCUGCGGCGAAGGCGGGUUGCUGGGCCGACACUGACGCUGAUGCGCGAAAGCCAGGGGAGCGAACGGG